UACGGGGGGGGCAAGCGUUGUUCGGAAUUACUGGGCGUAAAGGGCUCGUAGGCGGCCAACUAAGUCAGACGUGAAAUCCCUCGGCUUAACCGGGGAACUGCGUCUGAUACUGGAUGGCUUGAGUUCGGGAGAGGGAUGCGGAAUUCCAGGUGUAGCGGUGAAAUGCGUAGAUAUCGGGAAGAACACCCGUGGCGAAGGCGGUUCUCUGGGCCGAUACUGACGCUGAGGAGCGAAAGCGUGGGGAGCGAACAGG
rnacentral:rRNA from 1 species